GAUGAACGCUGGCGGCGUGCCUAAUACAUGCAAGUCGAGCGAACGGACGAGAAGUUUGCUUCUCUGAUGUUAGCGGCGGACGGGUGAGUAACACGUGGAUAACCUACCUAUAAGACUGGGAUAACUUCGGGAAACCGGAUCUAAUCCCGUAUAAUAUUUUGAACCGCAUGGUUCAAAAGUGAAAGACGGUCUUGCUGUCACUUAUAGAUUGUUCCGCGCUGCAUUAGCUAGUUGGGAAGGUAACGGCUUACCAAGGCAACGAUGCAUAGCCUACCUGAGAGGGUGAUCGGCCACACUGGAACUGAGACACGGUCCUGACUCCUACGGGAGGCAGCAGUAGGGAAUCUGCCGCAAUGGGCGAAAGCCUGACGGAGCAACGCCGCGUGAGUGAUGACGGUGUUCGGAUCGUAAAACUCUGUUAUUAGGGAAGAACAUAUGUGUAAGUAACUGUGCACAUCUUGACGGUACCUAAUCAGAAAGCCACGGCUAACUACGUG
rnacentral:rRNA from 1 species